UACAGAGGUCCCGAGCGUUGUUCGGAUUCACUGGGCGUAAAGGGCGCGUAGGUGGCUUGGAAAGUUUGAUGUGAAAGCUCAGGGCUUAACCCUGAAAUGGCAUUGAAUACUGCUGAGCUGGAGGUUUGGAGGGGGGACUGGAAUUCUUGGUGUAGCAGUGAAAUGCGUAGAUAUCAAGAGGAACACCAGUGGCGAAGGCGAGUCCCUGGACAACACCUGACACUGAGGCACGAAAGCUAGGGGAGCAAACAGG
rnacentral:rRNA from 1 species